UUGGGCUUCUUUUGGAUACUUUACCACAUCUUGCCUCUUUUUUUUCCCCCUUCUUUUGGUUGGUGCUUUUCAUUUUUCUCCCUUUUCAAUAACCUAUGUCAUGGUUGGAGAUGUAUCUGUAUGUCAUUUAUUUACAUUUUCUUCCUGUAUUUUCUUUUUUUCUUCCUCUUUGCACAUGUGGUCUAAUUUGCAACCCGAUAUUUCUAAUUGAUUAACAAGUUAUCUUCCAGUUUCCAGAUGAGCUUGACCCUCUUUGAACUGUUAAGAAUUUAUCAUCUCAUUGUUCUAGACAGUGCACAGUGAGAAGGACGAACAUUUUUGGGAAAUAUCUUUCAUUUUAUUUUCUGAAGUUUUUUAACCCUAUUUUAUUUACCUAUAAUAUAGCUUAGGAUAAGUAGCAGUAAACAAUAAAUAAUAAUUUAUAGGUAUAGUAAUAUAUUAUUAUUGGGGCAGCAUUUUCCCCAUUGGCAGAUGAGGGAUAGCUUCUUAUCUUCACUAUAUGGACCUUAGUAUUUUCUGUAUGGAAUUGUAGUUGGUGAUCAAAAUCUUUUUGACAUGUUGUCCAUAUCAUUGUUGAUUCAUCUGUUAAAUUUCACCCUGAAAGCAUUUCACAGUAUGACAAAAUCGGCAGCUCAAUGUAAGUCAAGAUUUGGAUGGCUGGUCAAUGACAUGGUCCUCUAUCUACCCAAUGGUUAGAAUUGCAUGUCAUCCCUUUACUUGUAGGACAACUGAAAAUAUACUGGAGAAAAUCCAUUAGAUGGUGGGACAUAUGGUUGGGAAUUGAAAUGGGCCCUGAAAUUUGACAUUUUCUUUUUGGUAAGAAAUUUGACAUGUAAACCUAUAUAAGGUCUCUUCCAUCCAUCCAAUGGUCGAAUUCACCAUGUCAUCCCUUCACUUGGCUCAAGAAGAUUGUCAGAUUAGAAUUAUGGACAAAGAAGUCCUUUUGGUAAUAAUACUUAUAAAUCACUGAUAAUAAGAUUAUCAGGGUACAUUUUCCUACAAGGUUGGUCCCAUUAAGGAGUUUGUCACAUACUGGGUUUUCAACAAGUUGCAUCUUAAGUGUUGGCGCAGCCAUCAAUGUAUUUGACACCUUUGCUUUUCCUAUUUUUCACUCCAAUAGAUCUAUGCAACAUGGAAAAAUAAUUUUUGGAGUUUUUUUUUUUCUUUAUUUCAUUUGAGCUUGAAACAUGGCGACUGAGUCCAUUUGUUUGCAACCUUUGUGCAUCUACCUCUCCCUAUUAUGCAGUUUGCAGUUUGUUAUCUCUGCCACAUGGCAGAAGGAGAUCCCUUUGCUUCACCUUUUAACUUGAAAAUUGGAAGUUCUACCUAUGAUAUUCUGUUAAAGGUAACACUUUAUACAUGGUCACGGUUGUAAAGUACUUGGUAACAAUGACUCUGUUGAGCGAGGCUAAUCUCUCCCAUCAGCUAUUGAUAUGGAUAAGGAUUCUUGCUGGAGCUGGAUUCAAUUUCAUCUUGUUUUAAGAGGGCAGGCCUCAGCGCAACAGUAAGGUUGCUCCAUUGCAACCUAGUGGUCGUGGGUUCUAGUCAGGAAGCAGCCUCUCCGCAAAGUAGGGAUAAGUAAAUCUUCUCGGAUUUUCAUCUCCCCGGAAAGAAAAAAAGGGAAUCUUGGAAAGUCUCAUCUAAGAUUUAGUCUUCCUCCAUUUUUUGGUAUGAGAGCUACCAAAAGUGAUAGUCUGUCGAUCCCAUCUUGUCAUUCACGACUGCGUCAACUGCCAAUAAAUGAGUACCAAAGAACUUCUUAGCAUAUACCUUAUCCAUCUAGUCUCCGUCAAACCAACACCGUGUGACUAACUAACUAUUAAGCCAGCUUGCUCAUUGUUGAUAAGUCAGAAGCUACUGCAAAUGUGGGUGGAUCAAGCUUUCCUUUCAUGAAAAAAGCUGAUGAAAUAAGGGAGAUAACCAAUCCAUAUUCACCCUGUGGAAGACUAUCAGCUUCAUCUUUCUUUUAUCCUGGUGACUUUUACAGAAAAAGAUAUUGUUGAAGUUGUUGGCCUCAACAGAUUGAGUAGAUUGGCAAGUGCAAUACAUGGUUUCAAUAUUUGAAGACUGGAGCACAUCAAUUGAAAUGAGAACUUGGAAUGUGCUCAUGAGGUACAUCUUUGGGUUCUGGGAUUGCUGACUAUCUUUGGUGCUUUGAAGGAAUCUGUGAUUUUCUUGUAGCACAGGAAAGUCUUGUGGCUAACAUAAAGCUUUGUUCCCCAAAAUUUUUUCAUUAGAUCGAGUCAAUGAGAUAUCUUAUGCAUGUCAGCAGAUGGAGCGUGAUGUUUGUCUUGGUUCUUUCCCAUAAGAAGCCUAGUGUUCUUGUUUUUAUUGGUUUUUGCUUAUGGCAUCUGCUGACUCAAGUUUUACCUUCAUAUAGAACAUCUGUAUUCUUUUCCCUUCACUCCUAUGAUCUCUCAGUCAAGGAUGAUAGGAAGCAAAAAAAGAAAAAGAAAAAGAAGAAAAAAAAUGAAAUCAGAUUUUUGUGGCUGUUGCUAGAUUCUUAUGGGUUAUUAUGUUCAGACAAAAUCUGUUUUUGGCCGAAAGGCUCAGUCCUUUUCAUUCGAUUGUGGGCUCUUCAUUUUUUUUGUCCUUCCAUUAUAUUUCACUUUCUUCAUUCUGCUACUUUAUGCUUUCUUCCCUUAUGUUCUUUUCAUGGUUUCUUAAACCCUCCCCCCCCCCCCCCCACCCCCCA